rnacentral:rRNA from 1 species
AUGGCGACCGGCGCACGGGUGAGUAACACGUAUCCAACCUGCCGAUAACUCGGGGAUAGCCUUUCGAAAGAAAGAUUAAUACCCGAUGGCAUAGUUCUUCCGCAUGGUAGAACUAUUAAAGAAUUUCGGUCAUCGAUGGGGAUGCGUUCCAUUAGGUUGUUGGCGGGGUAACGGCCCACCAAGCCUUCGAUGGAUAGGGGUUCUGAGAGGAAGGUCCCCCACAUUGGAACUGAGACACGGCCCAG